AACGAACGCUGGCGGCAUGCCUAACACAUGCAAGUCGAACGAGACCUUCGGGUCUCGUGGCGCACGGGUGCGUAACGCGUGGGAACCUGCCCUUAGGUUCGGAAUAACUCCCCGAAAGGGGUGCUAAUACCGGAUAAUGUCUUCGGACCAAAGAUUUAUCGCCUUUGGAUGGGCCCGCGUUGGAUUAGCUAGUUGGUAGGGUAAAAGUCUACCAAGGCGACGAUCCAUAGCUGGUCUGAGAGGAUGAUCAGCCACACUGGGACUGAGACACGGCCCAGACUCCUACGGGAGGCAGCAGUGGGGAAUAUUGGAAAAUGGGCGAAAGCCUGAUCCAGCAAUGCCGCGUGAGUGAUGAAGGCAUUAGGGUUGUAAAGCUCUUUUACCCGGGAUGAUAAUGACAGUACCGGGAGAAUAAGCCCCGGCUAACUCCGUG
rnacentral:rRNA from 1 species